UACGUAGGGGGCAAGCGUUGUCCGGAUUUAUUGGGCGUAAAGAGCGUGUAGGCGGCCUGAAAGGUCAGCUGUGAAAACUCGAGGCUCAACCUCGAGACGUCGGUUGAAACCAUCUGGCUAGAGUCCGGAAGAGGAGAGUGGAAUUCCCGGUGUAGCGGUGAAAUGCGCAGAUAUCAGGAGGAACACCGGUGGCGAAGGCGGGUCUCUGGGCCGAUACUGACGCUGGAGGAGCGAAAGCGUGGGGAGCGAACAGG
rnacentral:rRNA from 1 species